GAAUAUUGGACCAUGGGGGGAACCCUGAUCCAGCCAUGCCGCGUGUGUGAAGAAGGCCUUUUGGUUGUAAAGCACUUUAAGCGAGGAGGAGGCUACUUAGAUUAAUACUCUAGGAUAGUGGACGUUACUAGCAGAAUACGCACCGGCUAACUCGUUGCCGGCAGCCGCGGUAAUACAGAGGGUGCAAGCGUUAAUCGGAUUUACUGGGCGUAAAGCGCGCGUAGGUGGCCAAUUAAGUCAAAUGUGAAAUCCCCGAGCUUAACUUGGGAAGUGCAUUCGAUACUGGUUGGCUAGAGUAUGGGAGAGGAUGGUAGAAUUCCAGGUGUAGCGGUGAAAUGCGUAGAGAUCUGGAGGAAUAACGAUGGCGAAGGCAGGCAUCUGGCCUAAUACUGACACUGAGGUGCGAAAGCAUGGGGAGCAAACA
rnacentral:rRNA from 1 species